rnacentral:rRNA from 1 species
AGCGUAGGCGGUUUGUUAAGUCGGGUGUGAAAUCUCUUGACUCAAUCAAGAGAGGCCAUCCGAUACUGGCAGACUUGAGGGCGGCAGAAGGAAACGGAAUUCCGAGUGUAGCGGUGAAAUGCGUUGAUAUUCGGAGGAACGCCAGUGGCGAAAGCGGUUUCCUAGGCUGUUCCUGACGCUGAGGCUCGAAAGCGUGGGGAGCGAAGC